UUCGGUACAUCGGCGACAGGUGGUGCAUGGUUGUCGUCAGCUCGUGUCGUGAGAUGUUGGGUUAAGUCCCGCAACGAGCGCAGCCCCUAUUGUUAGUUGCCAUCAUUCAGUUAGGCACUCUAGCGAGACUGCCGGUAAUAAACCGGAGGAAGGUGGGGAUGACGUCAAAUCAUCAUGCCCCUUAUGACCUGGGCUACACACGUGCUACAAUGGUUGGUACAACGAGUUGCGAGUCGGUGACGGCGAGCUAAUCUCUUAAAGCCAAUCUCAGUUCGGAUUGUAGGCUGCAACUCGCCUACAUGAAGUCGGAAUCGCUAGUAAUCGCGGAUCAGCACGCCGCGGUCGAAUACGUUCCCGGGCCUU
rnacentral:rRNA from 1 species